rnacentral:rRNA from 1 species
ACACUGUUGGGACCGCCUCUGCUAAAGAGGAGGAAGGAAUGGGCAACGGUAGGUCAGCAUGCCCCGAAUUAUCCGGGCUACACGCGGGCUACAAUGGUCAGGACAAUGGGCAUCAACACCGAAAGGUGAAGGCAAUCUCUUAAACCUGUCCUUAGUUCGGAUUGUGGGCUGCAACUCGCCCACAUGAAGCUGGAAUCUGUAGUAAUCGCGUCUCAAAAUGGCGCGGUGAAUAUGUCCCUGCUCCUU